rnacentral:ncRNA from 2 species
GGUCAUGAGCUCCAGCGCCAAGCCCCGGCUCGCUGGACGGCAACCCUCCUCGCGGUGGGGUGCCCCGGGUGAUGACAUGGCCCGCGUGUCUCCCGCGCGGGCAAGCGCGCACG